rnacentral:lncRNA from 1 species
AAAAGUUAAUAUCAAAACAGGAAAAGCUUAACAUUAACAAUUUAUAUUGGCAAAAUGAAUUAUUAAGGAUCGAAAAUUUAAAGAUAAUAACUGUUAAUAAUUAUUUAAUGAAACAACAACAUUUACAGAAAAGUAAAAGAGGGGCGAAAGAUAUCAAUGGGACAGUCAAACUCAUAAAUUAAGAAUAGGUGGAAAAGAAGGAAUAAAAAAUAUCAUGAUAUAAAGAUUGUACAGCUUGGGAUGCAGAUACGAUAAUACCAGCAGCAACUACAACAGCUACAACAACAGAAGACGUGGAAUAAAAAGGUACGGUUUAACAAGUUUAGAAAUUUAAUUAAAUAAUAGAACUUGAAUGUGUUGUAUCUUCGUGAACUGCAACAACUAGUUCCUGAUAUUGGUGACCUUUAUAGUUUAAUUGUUUUGAUAAUGAUUUUACAAAUAAAAUCAUGACUCCGUAACAUUUAGGGUGCCAGGAUGUGCCCCAGUUGUUACAUAUUAAUUAAUAAGCUUUCGAGUAGUCAGCACUUCGGUGUUGACAUGGAUAUCAAUUAAAUGGUAAUUUUUUUAUAAAUUUAUUGUUUGCAAAAGGUAUGAAUUAUUCGAAAUACUAACUUGUUUUCUUACCCCAGGCAUAAAUUACCUUAGCCGUAUUUGGCACAACUUUUGUGGAAUUUUGUGUCCUCAAUGCACUUCAACUUUGUACUUCUUUUGGCUUCCAACUAUUUUGAUCUGAGCGUCAUUGACGAGUCUUAUGUAGACGAAACGCGCGUCUGGUGUAUCAAAGUAUAAGCCUGGUAACUUUGAUAAAUAUUCUUGUUAUAGAUAUAGUUAUCUAGAUAGAGGAAAUGACAGUCACAGUGUUCAUUGUUAGUAAUAGUUCAAAUGUAUUUAAAGUCAGUUCAGCAGGAUAAAUCUCUUAAGGGAGUUGGCUUCUCAGUUUCAAAAUAAUUAACUUUUCAAAACACUAGCAUAUAUUGAUAGGGGAUUAAUAAAGGAAUCAAAAGAGCAAAAAAAAUAUAUAGGUCACCGUGCUUGUUUGCGAGAUAAUUGUCAUUGGAAUUUUGGCGGGAAAAUGUUCUCUCUUGACUUUUCUUAACUUUAUCAUUGACAAGUUUAAGUCCUCAAAAACUAUUAAAAAAUAAUUAAAAUUUUAUAAGACUUUAACAGACAGCUUAUCAUUAUACAUGUAAAAGAUUUAUAAAAAGAAAAAUGGGGGUCACCGGGCAAAAUUUGUUAAGGCAUUCAAAUGGAUAAAACCAGAGGAUUCCGAAAAUCUGACCAAAAUUCCAAGCUUCCUUAAGUGUACAUGCAUGUCUAAAUUAUUCAUUGAUUAUUAGCUGGAACUUAUAAACAUGUUAUAUGGGAAAAUCAUUUCAUUAUUAUCAUAAACAGUUUGAUCAAUUGCAUAAACAUUUACAUUUCUCACUUUUUAAAAUUGGAAAUCCGACAAGUUAUUUAUUGCGUUAUGGAAUUUUUACUUAUUAAUGAUAUAGGGCCUAUAGUUAUCAAAGGUACCAAUAUUAUAAUUUAAUACGCCAGACGCGCGUUUCGUCUACAUAAGACUCAUCAGUGGCUCAGAUCAAUCUAUUUAUUUGAUUAUAAAAUUGUACAAUUAUAUAAUCGAAGCAUGAUUAUAAAACAUAUAUAUUUACUAUUCCAAGUUAUUGAUUAAUAUUGAAUAUCAGUGCAUUGUUAUUGAAUUGCAUUAAAGUCUUGCUGAUAAAUGUUUAUUUUGUAUCUACAGUGUAAACCAUGCCAACCUUAUCUGAAGAAGAAGACAAUUUUGUGCGACUAAAUAUGUUGCUGACAGGUCUAUCUACAAAGGCUGCUUGUGUACUGUUUGACAAAGAAUUUGCACCGAGCUGUUUACGUGCUUCAUUUAAAAAAGAGUUUAAUAAAUUAUUGAAACUAAAGAAAAAGCAAGUCAUAACACAGGCACAGUGGAACAUUAUAGAUCCCUAUAAAGGUGAUUGUUAUACAUUUCAGUUAUAGUAGAGUGUUUAUUGGACAACAUGCAUCAAUAAUUCUAUUGCAAUUAUUUUAUAUCAAUGGUUCUGUUAGGCUGACAAUUAGCGUACAAUUCUCUUUCUAUCUGUCUUUAACUAAGGGAAGAAGACAAUUUGAAAACGAAAUGUAUUGAUACAUUAUUUCUCAAAUAACAACCAAAUACCCACAAUUUGCACAUAGAAUUCUUUUUUUUUUUACAUUCUGAUGCUGAAAAAAAGGAAGAAAAAACAUGUUGUUUACAUUUUCACCGGACAUGCCGGAAGCAUGACUAUAACGUCACAUAGUUUCGGUGCCAAAGCAGAGAACAUCAUUUUGCUGGAUUUUCUUUUAUUAAAAAAUUUACUCCUACAUAAUGACUGAAGUUGAUUGAUUGGUUUAUUUUGCAUAUAAUAGAUAGAGAUAACUUUAUUUUUUUCUGUCUCAAAUAUUUGUUAACGCUUUGUAUCUCCAGGUAAACUCCAUUUACAACAGUUAAACUACUGACGAACAUUCCGAAAGGUUCAAAUACAAAACAGUUAUCUCUUCAAUCCCAAUAGUCAGAAUUUUGUUCAUUACUUACAGCUAAUUUCCUAAGGCAUGUAGAGCAAGACUUUAGUAAGCUUGCUUGCUUUGUUUUUAUAUUGUACAAUUAUUAGGAUAACACCCAAUUAAAUUCAAAUAUCAUAUAUACAGGUUAAACUAUGCCUAUAUAUAUUGUUUAAAGAUGUCAAUCUUAUUUACAAAGCUUGUACAAACUAUUAUAGAAAUAAAGCAAGCAAGCCAACCAAAGUUUUGCUUUACAUGCAUUAGGAAAUUAGCUGUAAUCUGAAAUUAUCCCAAAGAUCAGUCUAUUUAUUCAGAUUAUUAUAAUAUAUUCUUAAGCUGCAUGUAUAAUUAUAAAGGAAGAAAAGUUUUCUGAUGUAUUUCUGUGUUUGCCUGCUUGUUAGCUGUUUGUAAUUCCAUCUGUCCGUCAUGUAUCAGGUUUAAGUUUUGGUGUAAGAUUGUACUUUAAACACCUAAUGAUUAAAAGAAUAUCAAUAGCAUUGAACAACCACACAAUAACACGAAUUAGGUGUGGGAGAACAUGUUUUGGGCAUACAAAAAGUGAUCUAUGAAGGUUAUUUGCUAUUCAACAUAAUUUAUGCUUGGAGUUUGUUAAAAAAGACACAUAAAAUUGACAGAAACAAUAAAUAAUAGCUAUUGCAAUGAAAUAAAUAUAAUACAAUAAUUGAAUCAGUAUUUUUGAAACUUCAUUUUCAUGCUAUGGCCUUAAUUUGCACAUUAAAGAAAAGCUAGACUAAGUGAAGUUAUCAAGUUUGAUAGUUCAAUAUGUUUUAAAAGGAAAUAAAACAACAUGCUGUUUAAGUUGAAUACUUUUUAUACGACCGCAAAAUUUGAAAAUUUUUUCGUCGUAUAUUGCUAUCACGUUGCGUCGUCGUCGUCGUCGUCGUCGUCGUCGUCCGAAUACUUUUAGUUUUCGCACUCUAACUUUAGUAAAAGUGAAUAGAAAUCAAUGAAAUUUUAACACAAGGUUUAUGACCACAAAAAGGAAGGUUGGGAUUGAUUUUGGGAGUUUUGGUCCCAACAUUUUAGGAAUUAGGGGCUAAAAAGGGCCCAAAUAUGCAUUUUCUUGGUUUUCGCACUAUAACUUUAGUUUAAGUGAAUAGAAAUCUAUGAAAUUUUGACACAAGGUUUAUGACCACAAAAGGAAGGUUGGGAUUGAUUUUGGGAGUUUUGGUUCCAACAGUUUAGGAAUUAAGGGCCAAAAAAGGGCCCAAAUAAGCAUUAUUCUUGGUUUUCGCACAAUAACUUUAGUAUAAGUAAAUAGAAAUCAAUGAAAUUUUAACACAAGGUUUAUGACCACAAAAGGAAGGUUGGGAUUGAUUUUUGGAGUUGAGGUCACAACAGUUUAUGAAUUAGGGGCCAAAAAGGGGCCCAAAUAAGCAUUAUUUUUGGUUUUUGCACCAUAACUUUAGUAUAAGUAAAUAGAAAUCUAUGAAAUUUAAAUACAAGGUUUAUGACCAUAAAAGGAAGGUUGGGUUUGAUUUUGGGAGUUUUUGGUCCUAACAGUUUAGGAAUAAGGGGCCCAAAGGGUCCAAAAUUGAACUUUGUGUGAUUUCAUCAAAAAUUGAAUAAUUGGGGUUCUUUGAUAUGCCGAAUCUAACUAUGUAUGUAGAUUCUUAAUUUUUGGUCCCGUUUUCAAAUUGGUCUACAUUAAGGUCCAAAGGGUCCAAAAUUAAACUUAGUUUGAUUUUAACAAAAAUUGAAUCCUUGGGUUCUUUGAUAUGCUGAAUUUAAAAAUGUACUUAGAUUUUAAUUAUUGGCCUAGUUUUUCAAGUUGGUCCAAUGGGGGUCCAAAAUUAAACUUGUUUGAUUUCAUCAAAAAUUGAAUAAAUGGGUUUUUGAUAUGCCCAAAUCUAACUGUGUAUGUAGAUUCUUAAUUUUUGGUCCAGUUUUCAAAUUGGUCUACAUUAAGGUCCAAAGGGUCCAAAAUUAAACUAAGUUUGAUUUUAACAAAAAUUAAAUUCUUGGCUUAUUUGAUAUGCUUUAUCUAAAUUGUACUUUGAUUUUUGAUUAUGGCCAGUUUUCAAGUUGGUCCAAAUCAGGAUUCAUAUCAAGUAUUGUGCAAUAGCAAGAAAUUUUCAAUUGGCCAGUAUUGCACAAUAGCAAGAAAUAUCUAAUUGCACAAUAUUGUGCAAUAGCAAUUAAUUUCAAUUGGAGUUAUCUUUCUUUGUAUAGAAUAGUAGUUGAUAAUAUAUGUUGGAAAUUUGCCAGACAUGAAACUAUGAUGUCUUUCUAUUUUUAUAUGCCAAUAACUUAUGUAAAUACUUCAUUGGAAAUUUGCCAAUAUAAAAUGUUGCUGAUGAAGCUUUUUUCCUUAUCUUAUCUAAAUGUUUUUAGAUAAUGUAUGUUGGACAUUUGCCAGACAUGAUAUGAUGUCAUUUUCUAUUUUUAUUUGCCAAUAACUUUAUGUAAAUAACUUCAUUGGAAAUUUGCCAAUAUAAAAUGUUGUUGAUGAAGUUUUUUUUAUGUUUUAUACAAUAAACAAUGUAUAUUCACUUUACUACCAACCAAUCUUUACCAUUCAGUGAUAACAAGCACUUUAUUUUACAUUUUAAUAUUUUAUGAGUAUUUAAAAAGAGUAGUUAUUGUUGCAAACUCCAUUAGAAAUUUGAAUUGAUAUCAGUUUUGGAGAAAGGGAAACGGGGAUGUGAAAAAAGGGGGGGGGGGUUUAAAUUUUUCUCAUUUCAGAUUUCAUAAAUAAAAAGAAAAUUUCUUCAAACAUUUUUUUGAGAGGAUUAAUAUUCAACAGCAUAGUGAAUUGCUCAAAGGCAAAAAAAAACUUUUAAGUUCAUUAGACCACAUUCAUUCUGUGUCAGAAACCUAUGCUGUGUCAACUAUUUAAUUUUAGAUUUAAAAAGUUUGAAGAAGAAAUCUUUAAUUGAUUUGUAAAAUCUUGACAUUUGUUUUGUGUAAAAAAAUCCAUGUAAUGUCAAAAAUUUGAUCACAAUCCAAAUUCAGAGCUGUAUCACGCUUGAAUGUUUUGUCCAUACUUGCCCCAACUGUUCAGGGUUCGACCUCUGCGGUCGUAUAAAGCUGCGCCCUGCGGAGCACCUGGUUAUUUGUUGAGAUGAAUAAUGUUUAGAACACACAAUGUCUUAGUCGUAUUUGGCACAACUGUUUGGUAUUUUGGGUCCUCAAUGCUCUUCCACUUUGUACUUGUUUGGCUUUAUAACUAUUUUGACCUGAGCGUCACUGAUGAGUCAUAUGAAGACGAAACGCGCGUCUUGCGAAUUAAAUUAUAAUCCUGUUACCUUUGAUAACUAAUUAUAUCCUUCUUAUUUUCAGGUUCGCCAUCAUCACAAAAUUUUGAUGUCACUCUAAUAAUAUGUUUGCUGAGACACUUGACUCCUAUGUGUGCCCCAUCA